rnacentral:rRNA from 1 species
UGCCCAGGGGACGUGGAUAACCUCGGGAAACUGAGGAUAAACCGCGAUAAGUCAUUACUUCUGGAAUGGGUAAUGACUGAAAUCUACAUGGCCCCUGGAUUGGACUGCGGCCGAUCAGGCUGUUGGUGAGGUAAUGGCCCACCAAACCUAUAACCGGUACGGGCUCUGAGAGGAGGAGCCCGGAGAUGGGCACUGAGACAAGGGCCCAGGCCCUAUGGGGCGCAGCAGGCGCGAAACCUCUGCAAUAGGCGAAAGCCUGACACGNUUACUCUGAGUGAUUUCCGUUAAGGAGAUCUUUUCCACCUCUAAAAAUGGUGCAGAAUAAGGGGUGGGCAAGUCUGGUGUCAGCCGCCGCGGUAAUACCAGCACCCCGAGUGGUCGGGACGUUUAUUGGGCCUAAAGCAUCCGUAGCCGGUUCUACAAGUCUUCCGUUAAAUCCACCUUGCUUAACAGAAUGGGGCUGCCGGAAGAUACUAUAGAAGCUAGGAGGCCGGGNAGANGCAAAGCCGGNUACUCCGAUGGGCUAAGGGNUUAAAUUCUCGUUG